rfam:Asian citrus Psyllid, Diaphorina citri - Florida Strain, whole genome shotgun sequence.
GCCUAGUUAGCUUAGUUGGUAGUGCGUCUGCCUUGUAAGCGCUAGGCCGCGGGUUCGAUUCCCGCUCGGGGCG